CCCCGUACACCGUGCGGGGCGACUCAUCUGAUUGCAACAAAGGGGUCUGCUCGUG
rfam:Escherichia vulneris NBRC 102420 DNA, contig: EV10242025.